rnacentral:rRNA from 1 species
UCAAAUCGGGUGAGACUACCCGCUGAACUUAAGCAUAU